rnacentral:lncRNA from 1 species
GCAGGAGGGAGUUGGCGCCGCCGCCGGCCCCGGAGUGGGUCUGUCGUCCAGGCUGGAGUGCGGUAGCGCGAUCUGGGCUCACUGCAACCUCCGCCUCUCGGGCCCAGGUGAUUUUCCCACCUCAUCCUCCGAGUAGCUGGGACUACAGGGCUUGCCACCAAGCCCGGCUCAUUUUUUGUAUUGUUUUAGUGGGGGUGGGAAGUCCCUUCAUGCUGCCCCGGCAGGUCUCAAGCGAUCUGCCCGCCUCAGCCUCCCAAAGUGCCGAGAUUACAGUCGUGAGCCACCGCGCCAGGCCCUAAAUCCGGAUUUUCACAUGUGAAACUUUUAAACAGUUUUAAACCACAUACUAUCUAUGACCUGUUUUAACCUCAAUAAAGUGACUAAACUUGCAGAUGAAGAGUGAAGGGGGUUGGAGAGAGAGACCAACUGGAACUUACCGCUUAGGUUAUCACAGUUUCAUUGAACAAGAAUGAAGAAGCUGUGGAGAUAAAAAUAAAUAUUUCUCAAUGAUUUUUUACAUUC